rnacentral:rRNA from 1 species
GGGUUGUGAGGUUAAGCGACUAAGCGUACACGGUGGAUGCCCUGGCAGUCAGAGGCGAUGAAGGGCGUGCUAAUCUGCGAUAAGCGCCGGUAAGGUGAUAUGAACCGUUAUAACCGGCGAUACCCGAAUGGGGAAACCCAGUGUGACUCGUCACACUAUCAUUAACUGAAUCCAUAGGUUAAUGAGGCGAACCGGGGGAACUGAAACAUCUAAGUACCCCGAGGAAAAGAAAUCAACCGAGAUUCCCCCAGUAGCGGCGAGCGAACGGGGAGGAGCCCAGAGCCUGAAUCAGCAUGUGUGUUAGUGGAAGCGUCUGGAAAGGCGUGCGAUACAGGGUGACAGCCCCGUACACAAAAGCGCAUGUGCUGUGAGCUCGAUGAGUAGGGCGGGACACGUGGUAUCCUGUCUGAAUAUGGGGGGACCAUCCUCCAAGGCUAAAUACUCCUGACUGACCGAUAGUGAACCAGUACCGUGAGGGAAAGGCGAAAAGAACCCCGGCGAGGGGAGUGAAAAAGAACCUGAAACCGUGUACGUACAAGCAGUGGGAGCCCCACCACUAAGCCAGUGGUGAACUCCACAUACGCAUCCUUUGCUGAGGAUACGGUUAACGGAGCACAAGCGACGUUCAACCUCAAAAGAAGCAGAGGGGGCUUAGUGGUGGGGUGACUGCGUACCUUUUGUAUAAUGGGUCAGCGACUUAUAUUCUGUAGCAAGGUUAACCGUAUAGGGGAGCCGGAGGGAAACCGAGUCUUAAC